AUCGAACGCUGGCGGGAGGCCCAACACAUGCACGUCGAACGAGUGGCGGAAGGGCCAGUAAUGCCUGUGAAACUGCCUGACGGAGGGGGUUAACUACUGGAAAUGGUAUCUAAUACCGCAUACCAUCGGAUGGGUCCAGAUGGGAUUAGCUAGUACGUGGGGUAACGGCUGACCAAGGCGACGAUCCCUAGCUGGUCUGAGAGGAUGACCAGCAGAAGUGGAACUGAGACGCGGUCCAGACUCGGACGGGAGGCAGCAGUGGGGAAUAUUGCGCAAAUGGCGCCAGCCUGAUGCAGCCAUGCCGCGUGUAUGAAGAAGGCCUUCGGGUUGUAAAGUACUUUCAGCGGGGAGGCGUUACCCGCAGAAGAAGCUCCGGCUAACUCCGUGCCAGCAGCCGCGGUAAUUC
rnacentral:rRNA from 1 species